GACGAACGCUGGCGGCGUGCCUAAUACAUGCAAGUAGAACGCUGAAGCUUGGUGCUUGCACCGAGCGGAUGAGUUGCGAACGGGUGGGUAACGCGUAGGUAACCUGCCUGGUAGCGGGGGAUAACUAUUGGAAACGAUAGCUAAUACCGCAUAAAAUGGAUUAUCGCAUGAUAAUUCAUUGAAAGGUGCAAAUGCAUCACUACCAGAUGGACCUGCGUUGUAUUAGCUAGUUGGUGGGGUAACGGCUCACCAAGGCGACGAUACAUAGCCGACCUGAGAGGGUGAUCGGCCACACUGGGACUGAGACACGGCCCAGACUCCUACGGGAGGCAGCAGUAGGGAAUCUUCGGCAAUGGACGGAAGUCUGACCGAGCAACGCCGCGUGAGUGAAGAAGGUUUUCGGAUCGUAAAGCUCUGUUGUAAGAGAAGAACGAGUGUGAGAGUGGAAAGUUCACACUGUGACGGUAUCUACCAGAAA
rnacentral:rRNA from 1 species